GACGUAGGGCGCGAGCGUUUGUUCGGAUUUACUGGGCGUAAAGGGCGCGUAGGCGGCCACCGCAAGUCGACUGUGAAAUCUCCGGGCUUAACCCGGAAAGGUCAGCCGAUACUGCGGGGCUAGAGUGCAGAAGGGGCAACUGGAAUUCUCGGUGUAGCGGUGAAAUGCGUAGAUAUCGAGAGGAACACCUGCGGCGAAGGCGGGUUGCUGGGCUGACACUGACGCUGAUGCGCGAAAGCUAGGGGAGCGAACGGG
rnacentral:rRNA from 1 species